rnacentral:lncRNA from 1 species
GCCGGAUAAAACACGGCUGCACCUAGCUAGAGGAGCCUGGGAGAUUCCUGCGGAGCUCUACCCCAGCCAAACACCUCCUUCCCAUCAGUGUUGGGAGCCUACAGACAUUCCUUUCUCCUCCUGUUUCCUGCCUGCUGAGAGAUGAAAACAACCCACUGCUGAUUUUCCAGAUCUUAGUUUUUAUUCCUCCACUGGGGCUGCUCUCACCAGUCUUCCUAGGACGCAAACGCUCAGAUUUCUUGGGAACGGAAGUCCAUGAAAUAACCAGAAAGGCGACCUACAUAGGAGUCCGCAACGAGGGAGUGACAGACUCCCUUGCUGGCUUGGAGAAGCGAGCUGCCACCUCAUGAUGGGGCCUGUGAGGGGCCACUUGGCAAAGCACUACAAGGGCUCCCCAGGACCUGAGAGCAGCCCCUAGCUGACAAGCAGCAAGGGAACAGGGACAUCAGUCCUGCAGUUACAAGUCAAUGAAUUCUGCCAGCAACAUGAAUGAGCCUGGAGGUGGAUUCUUCCAUACUCAAACCUGCAGAUGGGAACACAGCCUGGCCAACACCUUGACUACAGCCUGACCAGAGAACCAACUAAGCCA